AAGCAGGUUACCGGAGUUGGCCAUUGUAAUUUGUUUUGUCCUGUUUCACAUUGUGGUGGUUUUAUUUUUUACUAUUAGCUGCUUGGAUCUGCAUUUUGUUUUGUGAGGUGUAACACUGUGAGGGCCUGUAGUUUCACUCUUGAGGUCAGCGAGGCCACGAACCCACCUGGAAAAACAAACAGUUCCAGAUAUGCCGCCUUAAGAGCUGUAACACUCAUUGUAGAGGUCUGCGGUUUCACUUCUGAAGCUAGCUAGUCGACGAACCCACCAAAAGGAACAAACUCCAAACACGUCUGACUAUCAGAAGGAACAAACUCCAGACACGUUUUUUAGAACUAACACCCUGAGGGUCUGCAGCUUCAUUCUAGAAUCAUGCCAAGAACUCACAAAUUUCUGACACAUUGCUUUUCCGCAGGAGGUUGCGGGAAGACGUACAAGGAAGGGUCGGGAUGGUGCUUGAGGUGGUCAGAGCCACACCCAGGGCUGCAUUCUCAUCAGAGACACCUCUAAGUUACUGCGAAGUCGGAGACACCAGAAAGGAAGACUCCAACGUAUUCCGAGAGGAGUGGAGGCAAAUGGGAUAGACUAGCCCUCCCGCCCGGGAUCCCGCGUCUCGGGGAACGGAGACCCGGGCACACGCCACUUGCUUGCUGGGAGGUUCCUUACAAGUUACAUAGAGGGGGAGCUUUUCCUGGCCAAACGUGGGUUAUUCUCGUUCUCCCUUCCCCACACUGUCGCAGAGGAGGAAGACGUCUUGGUCGCCGUUAAGAGCUAAAACGAACGCCAAGGCUCUAAGUGGCCCUGGGGUCCAGGCUCGCCGGAGGCACCAGCGUGUGCAGGCCCGGAGCGCCGUCUUCUGGGCGAGGAGUGUCAUUAGUAACACUUUAUGUUGCGGAUAGGUGAAAGAAAAACUGACGCUUCGGAGAUGGGGUUGCCCAAAGAGGAAGAGAGAACAGCGAUUAGGGCCUUAAACCUCACACCCGAACAAAUUCGGCCGGAGUUACUGAGCGGCAGGCUCUCUGAUGGAGAUGGGUGCUUUCAGACUUAAGACGUGAAAACAAAGAUCAGCCACUCAUGAACGAACUCAAGGCUCACUGAGAUGCAACUGCCAUGAAGAAGUGGGUGCAGGGUGAGAGGUCUGUCUACCUCCUUAGAAGGACCACUGUGGCUUGUGCAGAGAUCCGAAGUUUGUUCUCAUUACAAUGGGGACGGUGAGUGCUAGUAAUGUGGACCAUUUUUCAAUAGCGCCACCUUGUGGCAGUGACAAAAUGGCCGUAGUGGACUUGGGCUCAGGUGCUUUCUUGAGUGUGCAAACUGGUAAGAACUAAUUUUUUGAAUCAGAUUUGGGGAUUAUUCAGGCAGAAGGGGAUCCCUAAAUGGAAACACUGACAUUUUAAUACUGCAAGUGGGGGAUGAUGAACAGACAAAUAACAAGCAAUGGGGGGCCACAUUUGUGUUCAGAAUUCAU
rnacentral:lncRNA from 10 species